UCUGCUCCGUCGGGCGCGAGCGAGGACAAAACGAAGCCGAUGACCCCUCCCUGCCAGCUGGCCGCAGGCCCCGCUCGGCAGCCCCUCAGCCGUUGACCCCGCCUCUGCCACGUGUGUAAGUGGAGGCGUAAAACACUCUAGUACGUUUUCGCUUACAGAAAGCAUACUUUCCCCUAAAUCCGUUUUCUGUUAGAAUAAGCGUAUUUCCUCUCUGUUCCAGCCCAGAAUGCGUUUUCUUAAUCAGAAAGCGUAUUUCUAACUUUGCGCUUCUGCCUUACCCACUCAGGUACUUGUUUAUGAUGAUAUUUUUGCAGAAAAGUCCCUGAACUUCAACCCUUCAUAACUUUUCAACCGUAACUCCAAAUGAGGUGAUUCCAAAGCCCACUUCUUCGUCUCGUCGAGCCUGUUCUGUUGGUUUCAUUUUCACUAUGGUUUGACACUGUGAAAAUGACCAUUUUGCCCUUGCGCUAAAUCAGGCCCUCCGAGAGAGAACGUUUUCCGGCGAUUCUUUUCGCGGCUUCACCGCACUUCUUCCCGGUGCCUUCUUCACCCCCAGGCAAGCCACAAUACCCACUUGCAUGAUAGUCAUGCAUUUGCCAUGGUUUUCAACUUGAAUAUUUAUUAAAUGUUUGCUUGUUUAAAAUAUGUGUAUCGUUGUUUCGGUAAUGCUUCUGAGUUUGUGCUUGCUUUCUUGCUGUGUUGUUAUGCACCUGAUUAUCAUGCCCUGCUAGUUGCUAGUAUUCCUUUCAUCUGCUUAUGCUUUCUAGUAGUACAUGUUGAUGUUGGUGAUGGUCUUCGGUGCAUGACUACCGUUUGUCCCGAGUACCAUUGUUAUGCAUGUUUCAUUGCAUCCAGUUGGUUAAAUGCUUGCAUUGUUGUUAUGUUCUUGCAUGAUAUUUGUUGUUGAUGCUAGUGGUCAUGCUAUAUUUCGGAGAAGUAUGUACUUGUGAUGUUCAUGUUAGUCAGUAUGCCAUGCUCAGUUGGAUAUGAUUUAUUGUUGAUAUGGUGGAUAGUUAUGUGGUACCCUCAUGAUAAUGUUGAUAUCAUGCUCAUGCAUUGUAAUUACAUCAUGUUAUUUUAUCAUGGCUCAGCAUAUUUGCAUUCAAGUUUAACCGGAUUAAAUUGAACUUGAACAACUGUUGGCUGAGUCAUGGUGCCACCAUAUCGAGCUAACCAGUGCAGCCAUGCUUACCUUUAUGGGAAGGUCUUAACUGGGUCUAUUGUCGUGCCUCUCGCUGGUGCCUCCAACUAGGGAAGGUUAUGGGCGUGCUUACCCUGAUUAGGUAGGUGGACAUAACCUUGUGUGCCCGUAGUUGGAUGAUAAGCGUUUUUGUCCCUGUUUGGGACGGACCACGACGGUGGUCGUUGUGUCUUUGGUAGACACGGGGCCACCCAGGACUAGCCCAGUGGGGAGUGAGUCGGAGUGGCCGGGAGAGUGUCAUGGUAGUAGAUCGGUUUUGUUGGAACGCCGUUGGUCCACCUGAAUGGGAGUGCGAGGCCAUGGGUUCCGUGGUGUGGGUACAGUGUACUAACCUCUGCAGAGUGUAUAUUAAAUCUAUCGAUAGCCGCGCCCGCGGAUAAGGGCCCAGUUCGUAGUUGGUCACACUGUGAGUCAACAGUAUUAAUAAUAACUUGAUUAACGACAACCCCGGUUCGACGAUGGGAUAAGUUGGUUGUGAUCGCCGGAAAGAUCACCUGUAAGACCAAGUGUUGGUCAUGGUUGUGAUCGCCGGAAAGAUCACCGUGGUAUCGAGGAUACCGAGUUGUUGGAUAUUCGUGAUGUUGUGCGAGAAUCGUCUGUAAAGAUCAAGCUCCUUGUGGUCAUUUAAUGAUUACUACGGUAUUGUUUAUGCCAAGCUUGAUUUGAUCCUGAGAUGAUCGUGUGAUGUCCGAGGUUGGUAAGUGAUGCAUGUGAUGGCUAAGAGGUAACCCGAAUAGAAUAAAUGGUGCAUAAAGUGUCAUCAUGUUGCAUGCUAGUAUCGUCAGAUUUAUUGGUUCAUGCCAUGCUCAUAUUGUUCUAGCGAUAUUAUGUUCCUGUUGUCCAUGCCAUGUUAUCCUGAUGAUCUCAUGAUAAUUCAUGCUUAACCUAUAAAUGCCAUGUUGAUGUUUGUCUUGAAUGCUUCUGGUUAUUGUGAGCUCACAAGUACAUUCAAUGUACUGACCUGGCGUGUCAAGCCAGUUUGCAGGUCAUGCCGGAUUUGAAUGCUUGUUUGCCGUGGAUUCUUUGUUUGCGAGCUAGGAUAAGUGUUCCAGCCAGAGUCCCUGCGGAGUGGAGUUCACCACCGUCGUCGUUGUUCCGCUGCUAGAGUUAUUCCGCUGCUUCGAGUUGUUCUACUGCUUGCAUAGAGCAACUGAGGAUAGCGUAGUGUCGCCGUGCCGAUGUUAUUCAUUGUAACAUCGGAGACCUUGUAAUCAUAUUCGUGUAAUAAUAGAAAGUUGGUUUGUUCUAUGCUAAGCAGUUCCGUAUUCUAGAAGACUUCUCCUUGAUCUCUGGGCUGGAAUACGGGGCAUUCCGGUUUCUUUGAGCCGGGGUGCCACAGCAUGGUCUCAAGGGCAACACUUCAGCGUGUUUUACAUGCUUACAAGAGGAGGACACCGUGGACCAUAUACUGGUACAGUGCACUUACGCUAGAGAGGUCUGGUACCGUUUCUUCUCGGCUGUUCACAUCCCAGUCCUCAGACCAUCACAUGACAGCACGUUCACGGCAUGGUGGCUGGAAGCGAGGGCAAGGGUGCCGAGCAAGACGAGAAGGACGGGCAGCGUGUUUUCAGAUGCCUGUAGCGGGUGAAUAAGAAAACGUAAUUGCCGUGCCAUCAAAUUUUGGUGUUCGAAAGAGACACUUGGUUUUCAUACGUACGUUAGGAUCAGGAGAUGUCCAAUUAAAUUUCAAAAAAAAAGGAGAUGUCCAAUUAGCUAGUGGAGCAUUUCGGUAAAGAUGCC
rnacentral:lncRNA from 1 species